rnacentral:rRNA from 1 species
GAUGAACGCUGGCGGCGUGCCUAAUACAUGCAAGUCGAGCGAACAGACGAGGAGCUUGCUCCUCUGACGUUAGCGGCGGACGGGUGAGUAACACGUGGAUAACCUACCUAUAAGACUGGGAUAACUUCGGGAAACCGGAGCUAAUACCGGAUAAUAUAUUGAACCGCAUGGUUCAAUAGUGAAAGACGGUUUUGCUGUCACUUAUAGAUGGAUCCGCGCCGCAUUAGCUAGUUGGUAAGGUAACGGCUUACCAAGGCAACGACGCGUAGCCGCCCUGAGAGGGUGGUCGGCCAGACUGGAACUGAGACACGGUCCAGACUCCUACGGGAGGCAGCAGUAGGGAAUCUUCCGCGAUGGGCGAAAGCCUGACGGAGCAACGCCGCGUGAGUGAUGAAGGUCUUCGGAUCGUAAAACUCUGUUAUUAGGGAAGAACAAAUGUGUAAGUAACUAUGCACGUCUUGACGGUACCUAAUCAGAAAGCCACGGCUAACUACGUG